UGGGGAAUAUUGCGCAAUGGAGGAAACUCUGACGCAGCAACGCCGCGUGGGUGAAGAAGGUCUUCGGAUUGUAAAGCCCUGUCGGGAGGGAAGAACGGCACAUGGUGAAUGUGUAUGACGGUACCUCCGAAGGAAGCACUGGCUAACUCCGUGCCAGCAGCCGCGGUAAUACGGAGAGUGCAAACGUUGUUCGGAAUUAUUGGGCGUAAAGGGCGCGUAGGCGGCUUGGUAAGUCAGAUGUGAAAGCCCGGGGCUCAACCCUGGAAGUGCGUUUGAAACUGCUGAGCUUGAGUGCAGGAGGGAGAGGUGGAAUUCCAGGUGUAGGAGUGAAAUCCGUAGAUAUCUGGAGGAACACCGGUGGCGAAGGCGACCUCUUGGCCUGAAACUGACGCUGAGGCGC
rnacentral:rRNA from 1 species